rnacentral:rRNA from 1 species
UGCUAACGUCCGUCGUGAAGAGGGAAACAACCCAGACCGCCAGCUAAGGUCCCAAAGUCACAGUUAAGUGGGAAACGAUGUGGGAAGGCACAGACAGCCAGGAUGUUGGCUUAGAAGCAGCCAUCAUUUAAAGAAAGCGUAAUAGCUCACUGGUCGAGUCGGCCUGCGCGGAAGAUGUAACGGGGCUAAACUGUGCACCGAAGCUGCGGCAGCGACACUUAGGUGUUGUUGGGUAGGGGAGCGUUCUGUAAGCCUGCGAAGGUGGCCUGUGAGGGUUGCUGGAGGUAUCAGAAGUGCGAAUGCUGACAUAAGUAACGAUAAUGCGGGUGAAAAGCCCGCACGCCGGAAGACCAAGGGUUCCUGUCCAACGUUAAUCGGGGCAGGGUGAGUCGACCCCUAAGGCGAGGCCGAAAGGCGUAGUCGAUGGGAAACAGGUUAAUAUUCCUGUACUUGGUGUUACUGCGAAGGGGGGACGGAGAAGGCUAUGUUAGCCGGGCGACGGUUGUCCCGGUUUAAGCAUGUAGGCGGAGGUUCCAGGUAAAUCCGGUACCUUUUAACGCUGAGGUGUGAUGACGAGGCACUACGGUGCUGAAGUAACAAAUGCCCUGCUUCCAGGAAAAGCCUCUAAGCAUCAGGUAACAUUGAAUCGUACCCCAAACCGACACAGGUGGUCAGGUAGAGAAUACCAAGGCGCUUGAGAGAACUCGGGUGAAGGAACUAGGCAAAAUGGUGCCGUAACUUCGGGAGAAGGCACGCUGAUAUGUAGGUGAAGCCCCUGCGGGUGGAGCUGAAAUCAGUCGAAGAUACCAGCUGGCUGCAACUGUUUAUUAAAAACACAGCACUGUGCAAACACGAAAGUGGACGUAUACGGUGUGACGCCUGCCCGGUGCCGGAAGGUUAAUUGAUGGGGUUAUCCGUAAGGAGAAGCUCUUGAUCGAAGCCCCGGUAAACGGCGGCCGUAACUAUAACGGUCCUAAGGUAGCGAAAUUCCUUGUCGGGUAAGUUCCGACCUGCACGAAUGGCGUAAUGAUGGCCAGGCUGUCUCCACCCGAGACUCAGUGAAAUUGAACUCGCUGUGAAGAUGCAGUGUACCCGCGGCAAGACGGAAAGACCCCGUGAACCUUUACUAUAGCUUGACACUGAACAUUGAGCCUUGAUGUGUAGGAUAGGUGGGAGGCUUUGAAGCGUGGACGCCAGUCUGCGUGGAGCCAACCUUGAAAUACCACCCUUUAAUGUUUGAUGUUCUAACGUUGGCCCCUGACCGGGGUUGCGGACAGUGUCUGGUGGGUAGUUUGACUGGGGCGGUCUCCUCCCAAAGAGUAACGGAGGAGCACGAAGGUUAGCUAAUCCUGGUCGGACAUCAGGAGGUUAGUGCAAUGGCAUAAGCUAGCUUGACUGCGAGCGUGACGGCGCGAGCAGGUGCGAAAGCAGGUCAUAGUGAUCCGGUGGUUCUGAAUGGAAGGGCCAUCGCUCAACGGAUAAAAGGUACUCCGGGGAUAACAGGCUGAUACCGCCCAAGAGUUCAUAUCGACGGCGGUGUUUGGCACCUCGAUGUCGGCUCAUCACAUCCUGGGGCUGAAGUAGGUCCCAAGGGUAUGGCUGUUCGCCAUUUAAAGUGGUACGCGAGCUGGGUUUAGAACGUCGUGAGACAGUUCGGUCCCUAUCUGCCGUGGGCGCUGGAGAAUUGAGGGGGGCUGCUCCUAGUACGAGAGGACCGGAGUGGACGCAUCACUGGUGUUCGGGUUGUCAUGCCAAUGGCAUUGCCCGGUAGCUAAAUGCGGAAGAGAUAAGUGCUGAAAGCAUCUAAGCACGAAACUUGCCCCGAGAUGAGUUCUCCCUGAGACUUUAAGUCUCCUGAAGGAACGUUAAAGACGAUGACGUUGAUAGGUCGGGUGUGUAAGCGUAGCGAUACGUUGAGCUAACCGAUACUAAUGAACCGUGAGGCUUAACCUU